CAUUUGUCACAGAUGAAAAAAUACAGACUUGUAGUAUUUGGUAGUAUUUUGGUAAAAUUAGAGCCACUUUUCUACAUAGCUGAAACAGAUUGUUUUUCAGGUGAAUUCCUGGGUGGUGUGAGAGCACCAAGUGGGUGCUGCCUGGCAGGGAGAGUGAAGGAUGCCGAGGACGGACGGAAACGCGCCCCUGGAGUGGCCAGGGCCAGCGCUGGAGAUGCUCAUCCCCUCAUAAGCUUAACGUGGAAAGGUGUUUCCAUGCAGCCCCAGAGGGAGAGGUGCUGAUGACUCAUGGGAUCCAGAGCAGGAGCUGGAGCGUCAUGGGAUUGCAGGUGAGUGGUGGAGUCAGAACUAACCCAGAGCUGUUGACCAGUCAUUACUGUUCAGCCUUCAAGCAGCCGAACUGCACAACCAAAGGCUACGGGUACGUGUGUGUGACAGCCUUUCUCUGAUUGGUUCAGCAGUUGUCUCCUGAUGGGGAAAGAGACUGAAAGUUGUGUAUCAGAUGAACCAAGGACAGCAGCAGACAGUGUGACACCUGCUCAGCUCCACCUCCAUGCCAGGCAUCUACCUGCACGUUUACACCCAGUACUCAGAACCCUUAGGAAGGAGGUUUGUCAGUUUGUAGUAGGACACUGAGGCAGAGAGCUGGAUUUGCGGUAGGCAUUUGUUGAGAGCCCCAACACUUCAUGAGCACACCCUGGGGUGUACAGAGCCAGAGUCCUGGCAGGUGUGAGAGUUGCAUCACAUCCCCCAAAACCAGCUGCCUGAGUGAGUCUGAGAGCUUGUCUUCAGUAGUGAUACCCACCAAAAAGUGAGUGAGCAUGGGUCAAGAGCACCUCCUGGGGUCCUGCAUUCAUUCAGUUAGCUGAGCAUACGUUUGCUCUGCUUUUCUGGAAAGCACAAAGGAGUUCUUUGGCAUGGACUACUGCAUCCCUUUACAGAUGGACGAACAGGCUCAGAGGAAGGAGAUGCUUUGCCCCCUCUCAUCACUUUCAGAAGAGCUAAAACAUGGCCAAAGGGCUUCAUAACCAGUAAUGCUGUCUUCCUCAGAUGUGGUUCAUGACAUCUUACUUGUUUUAUGUUUUGGGAGAGCCUGUUUGGACAGGGAGGUGAGUCUCACAACCGUGUCUAGUUCAGGAGCAUGUUCAGGAGUCCGGACUUUUCACCCCACAAAAGAAAAGCGGCCGGAGACCAGGCAGCCAUCUUCCAUAGAGCCAUUGCAGGAAGCUGGGGUGCUCGAGACUGCCGUGUGGCCAGCGGCUGCCACGCUGCACUGCUCACUUCUCUGCAGGUGUCCACACUGAACUGAGGGUGCAUCAAUGCGGGAAAUGGCUUAGACUCUCCCAGGUCUGCAAGCUGUCCCGCGCCACUAAGCCUUAAGCAUGGGGCUGGCAGUCUGGGGUAGGGCUGGAGGUGGAGAACAGCUCAUCUAACUUGGCUCCGCUCUGUCCUGGAUGUUGCCCAGAUGGAAACCCAUCAGCUCCCCAACAGGCUGACUGGGUGUGAAAUGCACAGUGGCAAAUGCUGCUCACGGGAAGGUCGGGUCAUCUGAGGCAUAGAAAACAGGAAUCUGAAUGAGGGGGUAGUUGGUAACUGCUUUGGCCUUUGGGAUAAUCCAGAGUUCAGGCAGCAGGUCUUUUACUAUUUUAUGAAAAAUAAGCAUUGUGCCUGAAUGCUGUGUUAACAGUGUAAUUUUGCAGGCUCAGGAAGGAGGUUUGCCCUGAGAAAAGCAGCCCAUUUCCUCCUCUUGUUGGCUUGCCUAUGGCUGCCUGGUUGCCCCCGUCAGAGGAGAUCUGAAGCUCCAGCCCGCGGACUAAGGACAGGGUGGUUCCCUGCACAGCCCUUCCACCCGGCUCCCUGCCCAGGUUCAGUCCUAAUGCACUUCAAAAGACUGCCACCUAAAAUGUUCUCCUGGUGCAGUGAACCCGUUUCAGAGUGGGACCUGUGCACUUCUGAGAGAGUAACCGUACCGGGGCACUGGAUCACAGCUUCGGGACUGUGUUCCUCUCGUGGUGAUGCACACUGACAAAGAUUUCAGAGGAAUUUGGAGAUGGGCAAGUGCACUUUCUUGACCUUUUCGAAAAUAGUCUGAGUCACUUUCACUUCCACCCUCCCCUAAACCAUGUUGAAUGAAUCCUUUGUGCAGUUUAUAGAAAGUGAAGAGCAGUUUGGCAAGCGAGAGAAGUUCAAACUCCUCAUAGCCUCUUCUGCAUUGAGUAACACUUUUUUCGAGUUGUCUGUUAACAUUUUUCUGAAACACUUUUGAUGAAGCCUACAACUAGCUCAUGAGUGGCCAUAAUUUGACUGCUUUAAAAAUACAAGAAGAGUGUAACUGCUUUAACAGACAGGAAAUGACAGUCCACACCUGAUUUGGUGGAAAGAAAUUCUCAAUGUUGGAGAGGUGUAAUUGGUAUAUUUAUUCUUAGCCCCUGCCAGUGGCUCUGUCAGAUGCCGGCAGAACACCAGUAGGGGUCUGCACAGAACAUGGAAAGGUGCUUUAUUUUCCACUGGUCUUUGGCUGUGUCUCCAUGACUUGUGAUUACCAAACCACUCUUCUGAGAAAACGGUGUCAUCGCAGCCUGGCCACCGCACUACUACUCCUGGUAUGGUGUGUGAUGGCUCAAACACCAGGUACAUGUGUACACAGGGAAAUGUAUGUUGACUUUCCUGAGAAACUGGACAGACUUGACAUUUUUCACUGUAUCUAAUUUCCCCCAGGGAUAAGCUAGUCUUAGAAAGUGAAUUUGAGGAGUAAGAGAACCAAGGAAAGGAGCCAAGUCCUGGCCUGGGACAGGCUCUCCCUCUUUUACUCCAUGACCUUCAGCAGAUGCAGAAUGGAGGCCACAUCUAAGAAAAGAUGCCAUCGUGCCUGUUCUUCACACCUGAGAAUAGAGAUUACCAAAGCUGUGGUACCUGGAAAAGAUAUCUUGAGAAUGCAUUUUUGGGCUCCAUUCCGUAACUUCUGAAUUGAUUCUGGUUUUGAAGCCCUGGAAUCAGAAUUGAGGAAAAAGGCAUGGUGAUUUUUUUUUUGAAUUAUAACUCACAUGCCAUUAAAGUCACCCUUUAACGUGUACAGUUCAGUGGUUUUAGUAUAUUCAGAGUUGUGCAUCCCAGAAUUGUGCACUAACUCCAGAAUAUUUUUAUCCCAAAAAGUAGCUCUGUAUUCAUUAGCAGUCACUCCUCAUUACCUUUCCUCCCAGCCCAUGGCAGCCACUAAUCUACUCUCUGUCUCUGGAUUUGCCUACUUGAGACAUUUCAUGUAAAUAGAUUUAUAUAAUAUAUAGGCUUUUAUG